rnacentral:rRNA from 1 species
GAUGAACGCUAGCGGCAGGCUUAAUACAUGCAAGUCGUGGGGCAGCAGGUCUGUAGCAAUACAGAUGCUGGCGACCGGCAAACGGGUGCGGAACACGUACACAACCUUCCUUUUAGUGGAGAAUAGCCCAGGGAAACUUGGAUUAAUACUCCGUAAUAUAUAGAAGUGGCAUCACUUUUAUAUUAGAGCAGCAAUGCGCUAGAAGAUGGGUGUGCGGCUGAUUAGAUAGUUGGCGGGGUAACGGGCCCGACCAAGUCGACGAUCAGUAACUGGUGUGAGAGCACGACCAGUCACACGGGC